rnacentral:rRNA from 1 species
UAUACAGCGAAACUGCGGAUGGCUCAUUAUAUAAGUUAUCGUUUAUUUGAUAGUGCCUUACUACUUGGAUAACCGUGGUAAUUCUAGAGCUAAUACAUGCUAAAAACCCCGACUUCGGAAGGGGUGUAUUUAUUAGAUACAAAACCAAUGCCCUUCGGGGCUCUUUGGUGAUUCAUGAUAACUAUACGAAUCGCACGGCCUUGCGCCGGCGAUGGUUCAUUCAAAUUUCUUCCCUAUCAACUUUCGAUGUUUGGGUAUUGGCCAAACAUGGUUGCAACGGGUAACGGAGGGUUAGGGCUCGACCCCGGAGAAGGAGCCUGAGAAACGGCUACUACAUCCAAGGAAGGCAGCAGGCGCGCAAAUUACCCAAUCCCGACUCGGGGAGGUAGUGACAAUAAAUACUGAUACAGGGCCCUUUCGGGCCUUGUAAUUGGAAUGAGUACAAUUUAAAUCCCUUAACGAGGAACAAUUGGAGGGCAAGUCUGGUGCCAGCAGCCGCGGUAAUUCCAGCUCCAAUAGCGUAUAU